rnacentral:lncRNA from 1 species
GCACGCAGCGCGGAGCAUGGCGUCCCCGGGAGCUGGGGCAUGGGAGGCGGUUGUGGCGUGGGAUCUAGGGUGUCUGCAGCGGACUCGGCGGCCGUGUGAGGCGCUCGGCCCGCCGGACCCCGCCUGAAGCGGGUCGGUGUGGAAACCGAGCGCCGUUUGGAUGUAGAUCUUCGCCGUAGGCCCAGAACUGGGCGGGAAUAAAGCGAAGACCCAGGUCACACGGUGAGUACCUGAAGCUUACGGAUAUUUCCUGAACGACACGUGGGAGCACAGAGUGGGUUAAAGGGUGUCCUUGAUGAUUUGGAAAUUUGAUCUACAGAAGCACGAGUGAUUUAAAUUUUCUAGGGGCCGUGUCAAAACUCCAUAGAUGAAUGCUCAUUUGUAACAAGACUAUGAAUAAAUGCUUCGAUGUGCUGUUCUGGUUGACUUCAGCUGAGACUGACAUAUUCUUUUGCUUAACAGGAAGGGACAACUAGCACAUUGGGGAUGUAUGGGCA